GAUGAAGAACGUAGCGAAAUGCGAUAAGUAGUGUGAAUUGCAGAAUUCAGUGAAUCAUCGAAUCUUUGAACGCACAUUGCGCCCCUUGGUAUCCCGAGGGGCAUGCCUGUUCGAGCGUCAUUUCACCACUCAAGCCUGGCUUGGUGUUGGGCGACGUCCUCUAUGGGGACGCGCCUCGAAACGCUCGGCGGCGUGGCACCGGCUUUAAGCGUAGCAGAAUCUUUCGCUUUGGAAGUCGGGGCCCCGUCUGCCGGAAGACCUGCUCGCAAGGUUGACCUCGGAUCAGGCAGGGAUACCCGCUGAACUUAAGCAUAUCAAUAAGCGGAGGA
rnacentral:misc_RNA from 1 species